rnacentral:misc_RNA from 1 species
UAAGCAGUGGCUUGGGAGAGUGUCCUUCCUAUACUUCUCCUACUCCUAUCCAUGCCUCAACUUCGCCUCAACUCCACUCCACUCGACUCGACUCGUGUAUGUGUGUAUUUAUGUAUGUAUGUGUGAGCGAGCGAGCGAGCGAGCGAGCGAGUGAGCUAGUGAGCGAUUGUGGGGUAAUGGUUGGACAGUUGAGUUAAUUUGGGCUUCUCUUAAAGGUGUUGUCACAACAGUGGCAGGGAGCUUGUGGUUGUGAAUGCCAGCUACUACUACUGUGUGUCAAUUACUACUAUUACUACUACUAUAACUACCACUACUACUAUCGGGUAAUGUAAAUGAAUGGUGCCGUACUGUGCUGUGCUGUGCUGUGUAUUGGUAUAUAAGAUGGUAUAUGUGAUUUAUCCAAUAGUACGCACCUAUUUGCCUGAUAUGUGUAGUAGUGGUUAUUUUUAUUUAUUUUUUUUAUUUAUGUUUUGUAGUAGUACUAGUAGUAGUUAUGAUUGACCCUAGUAGAGCGACAAUUCACUAAUCGUGGCCUAGUGUAUAUAUGUGUUAUUAGAUGGCACGAGGUGUGGAUUGUGGCUUAUAUAUAGAUAAAUAAUGGUAGAUGGCGUCCAUCAAAUCCAUUCACUUAAUAAUUAUUAAGUGAUAUGUGUAUAGGUUACAUGCAUGCGUGUAUAGGUUAUAUGUAUGCAUGGCCAACCUGAC